ACUCCUACGGGAGGCAGCAGUGGGGAAUUUUGGACAAUGGGCGAAAGCCUGAUCCAGCAAUGCCGCGUGAGUGAAGAAGGCCUUCGGGUUGUAAAGCUCUUUUGUCAGGGAAGAAACGGUGAAAGCUAAUAUCUUUUGCUAAUGACGGUACCUGAAGAAUAAGCACCGGCUAACUACGUGCCAGCAGCCGCGGUAAUACGUAGGGUGCAAGCGUUAAUCGGAAUUACUGGGCGUAAAGCGUGCGCAGGCGGUUUUGUAAGUCUGAUGUGAAAUCCCCGGGCUCAACCUGGGAAUUGCAUUGGAGACUGCAAGGCUAGAAUCUGGCAGAGGGGGGUAGAAUUCCACGUGUAGCAGUGAAAUGCGUAGAUAUGUGGAGGAACACCGAUGGCGAAGGCAGCCCCCUGGGUCAAGAUUGACGCUCAUGCACGAAAGCGUGGGGAGCAAACAGGAUUAGAAACCCCAGUAGUCCCA
rnacentral:rRNA from 1 species